GCUGACCUCAAACUCAUCCCUCAUAUUUCUUUUUCUUUUUUCUUUUUAAAUUUUUAUUAGAUAUUUUCUUUAUAUACAUUUCAAAUUUCAAAUGCUAUCCUGAAAGUUCCCUAUACCUUCCCUCCGCCCUGCUCCCCUACUCAUAUUUCUUAAGUCACAUGCCAGAAGAGGAUUAUACUGUAUAAUAAAUUAUACUGUAUAGUUAUACUAUAUAAUAAAUUAUACUGUAUAAUGUGGCCAGCAAUAACAGAACUUACAUUUUGGAUGCCUUAAGCAGCAAAAUUAGAUCAUGGUUUUGGAGACUAGCAGUAUAAGAUUAAAGCGCCAUCAGGGAGGGCUUCUAGUAAUGCCUCUUUCUGACACCAUAUUCUCACUAACCUUUUAAAAGUAUAGAUGCUGUGAGAUGGAAUGGGAGAUCUUUUUCCUUUCUUGCAUGAUUAGAUUUUAAGUCAAUAUGCUAGAAAGAUAAUUCAGCAAUUAAAAGCACUUAAUGGUUUCUAGCACUCUGAGGGCAGCUCAUAGCCACCUAUAACUCCAGUUUCAGAGGAUCCAGCAUCAUUUUUGGGACUUUAAUGGUUCUAUGGAACUCCAGGGAUAUGACACGCAUAAAUACAUGCAGACACUUUCAUAUAAAGAUAAAUAAAUCUUUCUUCAUUAAAUGAAAAGUACUAUGUGUAAGGGAGUUGCCUGCAUGGUCUAUCUGUAGCACUUGUGUGCCUGACACCAGUGAUGGUGUUAAGAGUAUCUAGAAUUGGAGUUAUAGAUGGUUGUGAGCUGCCGUGUGAAUAUUGAAAAUUAAGUUGGAUCCUCUGAUAGUGUGAUUAGUGGUGUUUUAAAUAUAGAUACUGAAAACAGUUUUUUUUCAUACAAUAUAUUUUGAUCACGGCUCCCCUUCCCCAACUCUUCCCAGAUCUUACCCACCAACCCAUACUUAUAACUUUUUUUUCUCUUACUAGAAAACAAACAGGCAUCUAAAUAAAUAAAUAAAUAAUAAAAAUAAAAGCAAGCCAGAACAGGACAAAGCAAACAAACAAAAAGUCCCAAAGGAAAAAACACAAGAAACAGUCACAUACACACAUGCCCCUACCACACAGAACUCCCAUAAAAACACAAAACCAGAAACCAUAAUUGUCUUAGUUAGGGUUUUUAUUCCUUUGAGGACCAAAACCAUGCAUCUCUUAAAAAGGGAAACAUUUAAUUGUGCCUGGAUCUGCUUUUUUGUGUUGAUUUUACAGAGGCAUUACAAGUAAGAGAUUGUAUGAGUCUCAGAAGAGACUUUGAGCUUUGGACUUUUUAACAGUGUUGAGACUGUUAUAGACUAUGCAUUUCUGGAUUAUAGUAUGGUCAGGGAGUAGGAGUGGUGGUUUAAAUAGGAAUGUCCCUCAUAAGCUAAUAGAUUUCAAUGGCUGGUCACCAAGAAGUUGCACUAUUAGGAUGAAAUGUGUCACUGGGGAUGAGCUUCUAGUUUUUAAAAGCUCAAGCCAGACCCAGUGUCUCACUGUCUCAUCCUCCAGCGUGAAGAUCCAGAUGUAGAACUCAUGGUUCCUUUUCCAACACCACGUCUACUCCAACGCUAUGUCUGCCUGCAUGCCACCAUGCUUUCUAUCAUGAUAAUAAUGGACUGAUAAACCUCUGAAGUUGUAAGCCAUCCCUAAUUAAAUGUUUUCUUUUAUAAGAGUAGCGGUGGUCAUGGUAUCUCUUCACAGCAAUAAAAACCUUAACUAAGACAGGUUUUUCCACACUCUGUUAGCAGCUCUCCUUGGCAGAUAGAUAUCCCACAAGUAUAGCUUCUCUUUCACCUUGGGCUUUCCAAGGCAAUCCAGGCUUCACUUUCACAACUUCACACUCUGGCCUCUCUUUGUCUCCAUGCAGUCACACCACUGCCACACACCUGGCCUCAGUGACUUUUCUUAGUCAUAGAGGGAGAUUUUAUAACCCCUUUGUUUUGUAUCCUUGCCUCUAAAGCCAGAGCCACACAGUAAAAACUGUCAAGUUCCUUUGCUUGCUUUCCUUUUUGUUGCUUUCCUUUACUGCCUAAGCAUGUGAUGGCAAAAGACCUGUGAGAUUUUAAAAAACAAACAAAACUCUCAAACUGUACUACAGAGCAAUAGUGAUUAAAAACCCCAUGGUAUUGGUACAGAGACAGACAGGUUGACCAGUGGAAUAGAAUUGAAGACCCAGAAAUAAGCCACACACACACUUACAGACACUCGAUCUUCAAAAAAGAAGCAAAAACAAAAAAAAAAAAAACCAAAAAACAUGCAAUGGAAAAAAGAAAGCAUCUUCAACAAAUGAUGCUUGUCCAACUGGGAGUCUGUAUGU
rnacentral:lncRNA from 1 species